UUUAUGGAUCGUUAGUGUCAUCUUCAUCUCUUAGGUCAAGUACUGUUCAGAGAAUAACAAGCGGCUUAUUCACUUUUCCACUUGUGAAGUAUAUGGGAAAACCAUCGGUAGCUUUCUUCCCCAAGAUAGCCCUCUACGACAGGAUCCUGCUUACUAUAUUCUCAAAGAAGACACAUCCCCUUGCAUUUUUGGCUCAAUCGAGAAACAACGAUGGUCUUAUGCAUGUGCAAAACAGUUAAUUGAGAGGUUCAUCUAUGCCGAGGGUGCUGAGAAUGGUUUUGAGAAUGCUUUUAUCGGUUUAUAUAUGCAUUUAUGGGAUUGGGCGUUGUUCUGUGUUGCAUCUCUUGCUCAUAUUGCAGCUGAAGAUAUCCAUGGAUGUUGCCUUUGUUUC